AGAGAGCGAGAGGUGAUGCUUUUGUGUCGUCACAUUCUAGAUAUAUUAAGAAGAAUAUUGUUUCGUUGAUAAUUCCAGUAAUUUUUUUCUAUGUACUUUGAAGUUAUUUUAACUGAAGACCUUUUUGUCGCUUCGUUACUGGUUUAGCGACAGGGGAUAUAUAAUUUUGCAUUUAAACACAACUUACGACACCAACGGUUAGUUUGUCAGCUCAGCCUAUCGUAGGUCUUUCCUUUGUCAGCUGACUCCGGAUUUUUCCUCCUCUUUAACCCACGCCAUGUUUGCAAAGCAACGAUUGGUCGAUAAAAAUAACGGCUGCACGGGCCUCUAAGCAGCGUCGUGGUGUGAAGAGUUUUUUACUAGAAAAGCCGUUGCACCAAAGUUUAGCAACAUACGUCACUUUCUGCUCCUUCAUAACAUAUUUUUAAGUAGGCAACAAAAUUUCAAAAUUGAAGGUAUCAUAAUAUUUUUUUAUAGAAAUGAGCAUGGGAGAUGUAGACCUGGUGAUACCAACAAUAAUGUUCGGCAAUAUUGAACGUUUGAUAGGCUACUGUAGUCCACACUCAACAACUCGACGGGCACUGUUUGGUCCCGUAGAUCACGAGGAGAACUUAAAAUUCGUACGCGAAGAGUUUAGCAAGUUACAGCAAAACGACGAAAAAAGGUGGAAUUUUGAUUUUAAAAACGAAACGCCAACGGACGGACGGUAUGAGUGGACACCAGUGAAAGACAAGGAAGUAAUUCAUCCAUCUUAUGAGCUGAAAGGGCUACAAUAUUGUAAGAGUUACGGAAAAUUAGCCAAUAGCCUUGUGAAAGUCCGAGAUACAAAGUUCAAACCACGUAGAACUACAGUUAGUUCGUCGUCGAAAACACUUACAGGUGAAAAAAGGAAUAUAAGAAUGCAACAAACGAAAAUGACAGAAUAUCUGAAGAAAAGAAAAUAUUCACCAGAAAGUUCCUCAAAUGUGGAUUCCAAGGUCACCGCACCCGCUACAAAGAUUCAACGAUCAUCUUCAACACCAGUAUAAUGCCAACUUUCCUGAUAGUCAUGGCAUUUGCUCCAUACCCCAACUGCCAAAGAAAAUCGUGUGAUAUGUCUUUUAGAACUGGGCUUUUGAUCUCACGUGCUACUGAUCCUUAUCCUCCAAGGGUUCUUUGUCAUUCACCAGUAGAACGCCAGAUGACAGAUAGUCGACGUUAUUUUUGUCACCUUGUGGAUAUUUGUAUUUCUUAAGCUGUAAACUGAGUUUUUUUCCUGUUAUAUAACCAAGUCUUGGUUUGGACCGUGUCGAAGUGUAGUGACAAAGAUACAUUGUUCUUACGUUUAACAUAUAUAUAUGUGUGUGUGUGUGAAGUGGACAAGAACGUGUUUUUGCUGAUGAGAGUAGUUUUUAACUGUACAUGUACACGUCACGGUUUCAUUUAUCUUUCAGUCGAUGUUAUUUAUUUCAUAUUCAUAUGGUUAGUUUUUGUUUCAGUCUAAUUCAUCAAGACGAGUCGUGACUAAAGUAUAAUGACGAUAAAAGAUUGAAUUAACAUUUGUACCUUUUGUAGAGUUAGAAGUAACCAUGGUUACUUUUCCUAUGGGCAAAAUUAUGUUCUGAUUAAUCAGAUGUAUAAAUGAUAACUUGUUGGAUAAAAAAAAAUAUGUUGUCAUGGUAACUAACUGAACUCCAUUAAUUAUUUACCAUGGUAACAAAUGUAAUGAACCAGCCAUCAAGGUAAGCUGGAUGGUAUAUCUAUUUGUCACGAUGAUCAGAAUAAUAAAUGUAACUGUAAUCAUAAGCGAUUACCUGUACAAAAAAAACAAAAAAAACGUGUGAGAAUAUUUACAAUUGCUGACUAAAUUAACGUGAAUAUUAGAAAAAUCUAUUAUGUAAUAUCAACGAGACAAUGUUUAAAUUAAAUCCUUGAAAAUAACCUGAAAAGACGAGUGUUAUUUUUCCUUGUUUUAAGUUAUCUAGAACUAAAACUAACUUCUGUCAAUUCAAAAAUAACUAUAUUUAUAUCGCGUUAAAUUUUCUUCAACAACAGCAUUCUUAGCUUUAAGUUUGAAGCGUUUUAUGUAUGAUUUGUUUAUAUAUUAGACUCGGUUAUUGAGAACUUUAAUUUAAUUUACCAGUAAUGUCAGCUGUCCGUAAUGAUCUCAACUAAUUUUUUUAGACGUGAGGUCCAGCUUGUAGUCUUGGAACAUGUAGAGUAGAAGGACCUCGUGCUCGUGGUUUUUGUGUAGACUAAUUAAUGUACAUAGAUAAAUGCUAGUAUUUACUUGGGGUAAUUAAAGCUUUCAUGUUACGUGUAUGUAUAACGAUGUUUCUUAUCGGGUUGGUUAUCUCUUGGUGGUGUUUCAGUGAAAGGCUUCUUGAGAACUUCGUGUUAACAUGGUGUAUAGAAGCUGAGAACGCUUUCAGUAUAGUGUAAGAUUAGUUCAAACCAAAGGAAGCUUACUUCUUGAAGUCCGGAGUAUUCGAAGGGUUCCUUGUAAUAAAAAUGUCGAGGAAAUAUUCACUACAUAUUAAAUAUUAAGCUUAUCUGAAUAUAAAGUUUUAAUAGUCAUUUAAAAACCAGUGUUCGUGUUGUAUACAGUGUUUACUCUGAAUAUUAUUCUAAUUUUAAACUGUGUGUUUAGCUUGUGAGAAUACAGGUAAUAAUUAAGCAUUUAAAACUUGAGAAUUUUUCAAUACAACAGUAUUCAAGAAGUCUAAAUCUAUUCAAUUUAAUGUUUAGUUGUUCGUUUUAACACAUUAUUGGUUUUAAUUUUCAAGAUAGCAAUGAUAUAAGAAUUUUAGUUGUUGAAUGAGUUAUUUCGUAGCAUUAAUAUAAAAACUGACUGACAUGGGCACUGCUGCUUGGCUCAAAAUUUCCAAGUGAUCUCGGUAAAGUGAUUUAUGUUGUUAAUGUAAUGAAAUAAGGGUCAACGAAGAUCUUUAAGAAAUAAUAACAUUUUUCAUUUUAUUUUCUUUUUUCAUAUAGUAAUAUAAUUUAUCUUUUGUUGUUCCGAAUUAUCGUGCAAAACAUAACUUAAACCUGUUACUGUUUGUUUUGCUAGAUUGUACUCUCAUUUAUGAGUACUGUUCCUUUCACAGCCUACAGAGCUUUUACAUAAUUAUGUUUUGUGUUUUCUGAUCUUUGCUGUAAAUAAAGAGAAUUAUUCAUCGUA